GACGAACGCUGGCGGCGUGCUUAACACAUGCAAGUCGAACGCUGAAGCUCAGCUUGCUGGGUGGAUGAGUGGCGAACGGGUGAGUAACACGUGAGUAACCUGCCCUCUUCUUUGGGAUAACGCCCGGAAACGGGUGCUAAUACUGGAUAUUCACUGAUUCUCGCAUGGGGGUUGGUGGAAAGGUUUUUUCUGGUGGGGGAUGGGCUCGCGGCCUAUCAGCUUGUUGGUGGGGUGAUGGCCUACCAAGGCUUUGACGGGUAGCCGGCCUGAGAGGGUGACCGGUCACAUUGGGACUGGGAUACGGCCCAGACUCCUACGGGAGGCAGUAGUGGGGAAUAUUGCACAAUGGGCGAAAGCCUGAUGCAGCGACGCCGCGUGAGGGAUGGAGGCCUUCGGGUUGUAAACCUCUUUCGCUCAUGGUCAAGCCGCAGCUUUGGGUUGUGGUGAGGGUAGUGGGUAAAGAAGCGCCGGCUAACUACGUG
rnacentral:rRNA from 1 species